AUUGAAGUCCAUUCUGUUUUUGAAGAGUGAUGAAUUUGUGGUUGUCUUGCAAAAGUUGGCAUGUUCCUACUACAGAUUUCUUUAAAUUAAAUGUAUCUGUUAUUCCACUUUUAUGGAAUGUGUCCUUGACAAACUUCUUGUUUGAACAUUGUUUCAGGGUUGGAAAGAUAUAUUUGGUUUUAACCUUGCAGCCAUGGAUCAUAUCCAGCAAUUGUUGGCUUCAAGAUCAGAUGCCCUUUUCCAAGAUGCAAGAUCAAAACUGCUUGAGAUACAUGCUCAACAAUCCAAACGUUUACAAGACAGAUCAGACACCGGAGAAUUCUUGCGGAAGAAGAAAAAGAAGGCAUAAAGUAUUUUGUUUUGUUCCGGUCAUGAUCUUGAGCUGAAUUAGUAUAUGUAUUUGGUCUGGGGUGAGAGAAAUCUCAGUGUUUCUCAAAAGCAUAGCCAGCAAUGUCAAACAUGACUGCAUUAAAGGACUGAUAGAAUUCACUGAACUUUGGGCAGUAUCCAGCGCAGCAGACUUUAUUCUCUCAGCAUGCACUUGAAGAGAUGGUAAAGGCAAUUUGACCAGUACAGUAAGGCAUCCAAGAGAAGCAGACAAUAUGUCCUCGUACUUCGAGGACAAACCAUCACUUAAUAGCUUGACAAAAGGAUCUAAUAAGGAUAAAGCAUUUUCAUCUUUUAAACCCUUCAUACAUUUAUGUAAUAUUCUAAUACCAAACACUGUUAUCAGAUGUGAGCAUAAUAGGCCGCUAGCAACUACACGGCUUGAAAA